AUGUUCUCGUCAACCUCGAUGUCCUGCGUCAACAACAUCCGCGCCGCUCUCAUGAACGCGCAGAAGGGGACACAAUCGGUGGCCACGUACUUUGCGCACAUGCGCUCCCUCGCCGAUGAACUUGCCACAGCGGAGCGGCCAUUGAAGGAGGACGAGCUGAUCUCCUACACCCUCAAUGGCCUCGACAUGGACUACCAGCCGCUAGUCUCUGCCCUUGACGCCCACACCAUCCUGGUCACCCUUGAUGAAUUGUUUACUCAGAUGAGUAACUUUGAUCAAAGGGUAGCUUUGUUCCAAGGGGCAGGGACCGGAGGAGGUUUCAAGUCUUCGGCAAACAUCGCCACCCGCGGCCGCGCCGGUGGCGGCUCUCGCUACCGUGGACCUCCUCGUCAGAAGGGCAAGAGCUCCGGCGGGGGCAACAGCACCGGCCAGAACAGCGGCAACAUGCACGGCGGCAGCCGGCCCUCCUCCAAAAACAAUAGGGGCCGGCGCACCAGCUCCUCCAACAGCAACAGAUCGCGCCCGGACGCUGUUCGGUGCCAAAUCUAUGGCAAGCUGGGCCACUCAGCUAAAGAUUGCUAG
rnacentral:rRNA from 1 species